rnacentral:misc_RNA from 1 species
GCAUCCUCUUUCGCCUUUUAAAACCAAGCCUAUGUAGUGACAAAUCAGAUUCGGGCCUAGAACAAUAUGUUUAAGGUCUAGACUUUUUUGAAAAUCAAUUCAAAGACUUGUUGAAAAGAAUCGUUGUAAAUAUUUAACGAUAACAUUAAAAGUUAAAAAAGUUUAACAAACUUGUUUAAUAGUCGUGAGCCGCUUUAAAAACAAAAAAUUAUUUUAUGCUUUGCCAGCUUUAUAGAAAUUUAAAGUAGAAAAUGGCAGAAGACGAGGAGGCGUCUGCAAUAGAAUCAUGUUAUUUGACAGAAAGCCAUGAAAUCAGUCACGAAAUCAAAGAAGAUAAUAAUAUGGUUAUAUGUAUUGAACAAGAAAUAAACAUUCAAAAUCAAUCACUAGCUGAAGAUGUGCCUGCAGCUCAUGCAUAUGAAACUGAAGAUGUACUCACAGCUCAUGCAAAUGAAGAAGUUGUUCCUUUAAAUCUUUCAAACAAAAGUUCUGUUGAAGAUACAUCAAAAGCUGAAGACAAUAAGAAUAAUGACAAUUUAGAAAAUAACAAUAAAAAGCAGAAAAGUCCUACUUUGCAUAAUAAAACACAGUCUCCGCAUGUUUUUAAAAAAAGUCUAACUGCAGAUGAGUUAAGAUCAAAAAAAAGAAUUAAUGAUUCUAAAACCAAAGAAGAAGAGCGAAGAGCUGCUGUUUUACAACGAAAAAAGAAAUUAGAAGAUGAAGAAAAAGCACGAAAAGAAGCUAUAUAUAAAAGACUGUCUGCUAACACUGCUCCUGUAGAUGCUUCUGCAAUACGGAAAAAAUAUUCUUUGUCUACAUCCAACUUGUUGCAGUUGCGCAAAAAUAAACAGGUAGAAAAUAAUAAUGAUAAAAAACCUACUGAAAAGCAGAAAGUAAUGCAACGACCUCAAUCUUCUGCUUCUACUAGCAAUCUUUUAAAGUCCAAGGAUAAGAUUAAGACUUUUGAUAAUAAACAGUCAACAACAGUGACUGGAAAAGACAAUGUUGCCAGGUCUCCUACCACUCGAUUAAAUCAACGACCAUCUACUGCAUUAGGAAUAUCUACUUACGAUAAAAAAACACCUCAAUCAACACCGUUAAGUGAAAAGAAAGUAAAAAAGGAUAAAGAUGUUGAAAGACCUUCAACUGCUCCAAAAACAUUAAAAUCUAAAUCUGAUAGUACAUCACCACCAAAAAAAAACGAUUCAGUGGUAAGACCUAAGUCUGAUAGCUGUCCUCCACAACAUAGCUCUACCCCUAAGAAGGUAACAUCGCCUAUUUUAAACUCAAAAAAUUCUGUUUCAAAUAAAAGUCCUCCAGAUGUAUUAUUAGCAGAAGGUGUAUCAGACACAAAAAAAGUUACUAAAGUAUCAAAAACUGGCAUAAAAUCUUCAGAAUCGAAAGCUUCUGAAUCUAAGACAAAGUCUAAAAUUUCUGAUAAAUCUAAUAAAUUAGUUGUAGAAACAAAUAAACCAAAUUUAGAACAAUCAAAAACCAAACCUAAACUAAAUGUUAAAAAUAAUGGUAAAGUCAUGAAAAAUGAUUCAGAAGCUAAUAGUAAAGCAGCUAAGACUGAAGAAGAAGCGAAAAAGGCUCUUGCAGAGCACCGCAGGAAAGCAAAAGAAGAAGCUGAAGCUAAAGCUAAAGCAGAUAAAGAAAAAGAAGAAGCAGAACGUUGUCGUCGUGAAGAAGAAGAGAGAAAACUAGCUCAACAGUUAGAACAAGAGGAAGCUCUCCAAAAUGCUUUACUUGAAGAGUUACGACAAGAAGAAGAAGAAAGGCGUAAAAAAAUGAUAGAAGAGAAGGAAAAACGUGAGAGAGAUGAAAAAAUAAGAUUAGAAGAAGAACAGAGACUUAGAGAUGAGGAAAUUGAGCGCAAAGCAAAAAUUGAGUUAGAAAAGCACUUGAAGGAUCAAGAAUUAAAAGAACAAGAACUGGAUGCAGAACGCAUUGAAAGAAAAAAAGAGAGUGGAAAUGAUAAUGGCCAGGGUAUCUGCAAAACGUUUAGAUCAGACUAAUGACUCGCCUACUUCUGUACAAAAUACAGUCCAAACUGAAGAAAAUACCUAUUCAUUAGAGAUUAAUCCUGAAAAUGAAACAACAAAUUUAAAAGUUGAGCAAAGUCCUCAUCCAGACAACUUGCUUGAAGAUAAGAUUCAUUCAGUAUCUGAUCCAUUAAAUAAUACAAAUAAAACUUUAAAAAAUGAUACAUUGAACCAGGUUGAUUUUCCUGUUCAUUUGUUAUUAGACAAUUCUGAUAUUACGAGUAAUGAUUAUAAUAUAACAAAUACUUCAAUUGUCUCUGUUAUAACGAAUGAUGAAAAAGUAGGACCAUAUCAUGUUGAAGUAUCAAGUAACAAUAAUACAGUUAUUCAAAACGGAGAUGCACAU